ACAUCAAGUCUAGGCAUGAAUUUGUGUGGUUACUACAUCUAGCUAAUAGGGUGCAUGACACGACAAAUGAAGUGUCUCAUUGAGUAGGCUUAUGAGGCAUCAGCAAUACUUGCGGAUGAACCAAUUACCGACAUAGCUGUUUAGACCUUGUGUGUUGCUACCGCCACACAUUUGAUGCUGAGAAUAAAACUUGAUUAAAUACCAUGCACCUUUGUACACCGUUCAACCUUGUUUGUUUACAAGGAGCUAGCUGAUGUGUAUCGUUCAUAUGCAAAUAACUCUUGUUGUUACACCAUAUAGUGAGUAAGUACUAUGCAAAUGAACGAGCACAUCUUCCUCGUCACGGAACACCACAUCGUUGGAUCUCGAAUAACAUGCAAUAAAAUUGGUUUUUUCUAAGAAUCGGCCGAGAUAUUGGUGCAAAUGAUCCUUGGAUGCCCUCUACUAGACAAAGUGCUAUCGCUACUGGUUGGAAACUGGCUAUAUAGUACUAUAUUCGCUAAUCUUUAGUCUGAUUAUAAGAACCGGUACUAAAACUUAAUCUUUAGUACUAGUUAUUGGCAUGCACCGGUAAUAAAAGGUUUCUCUUUAGUACUCGUUCUAGCUAAGAACCUUUACCAAAGAGUAACUUUAUCAAUUCGGGCUCUUGGCUUGUCAUAAUCGUUGAAAUUGUAUAAUCAUUGAAAUUUCGUUCGAGAUCGUGGCUUGUUAUAAAUACAUGCUCUGUCAAUCACUCUUGAGUAGAUUUAGGACCUAAUUCUUUUUCAUAGAUGUAGGGCGUGAUUUCUGCAUACUAACGUGCAAUUCAUGUAUGAUUCAUUUGAGUUAAUGUUUUGCCUCUAGCAUGGGUGAGGAUCGUCGAUGGAUGUAUGAAGGCUGAAAGAAGACAUAGACUGCAUCGAGUGAGUCGUUUUCCAAAACUGAUAAAUUUCUUGAGUCAGUUCCUUGAUCGAGCCCGAGGACAUAUGGAACAAUUGGGACAUCUGAAAUUAGAUAUUUCAAAAUGAAUAGCAUAGAUCUUGUGC
rnacentral:lncRNA from 7 species